AUAGCACGAGUUAGGUGCUGUGGGAAUUACAAAAGAAUUGUUCAUAUAGGGCUUUUUGCUGUAGGUGCUUCCUCUCUAGCUGGGUUCCCAGUACUUAGGCCAUGAAAUGGUGAGGUGAAGUAAAUGAGUACGCGCAUAGAGUGCUCUAGUUGAGAAGGGAGAAGGGACAAAGCAGUAGGGGAAGACUCUAGGGAGCCAUGGAAUCUGAGCAGUUUGAAGGACCAGUAGUUAAGAAUAGCUAAAAAGAACUCAUUUUAAUUUUCUUUUGGGAGAAUGCAAGGGAAGUGGUUGGGCUAGGUUAGGACAUAGGCUUGGGAGUUGGGAAAGAACCACUGUAGGUUUUAAAGUGUAAACCAAACAGUGACAGAGGCAGAUCUCAAUCAGUUUAGAGGUUUAUUUUGCCAAGGUUGAGGAUGCACCCCCGAAAAAGAAACACAAGUCACAGGAGGACCUGUGUCUUGUGCUUUUUCUGAAGAGGAUUUUGGGAACUUCAAUAUUUAAAGUGGAAAGAGAAAGCAGGAGGGGAAGAAAAAAAAGGGAGAGUGGGUAGGCAAUGAGGC
rnacentral:lncRNA from 1 species